AAAACACUUUACAUUACAUCAUAAUACAAUCGUCAUGUCCACAAUCUAACUAUUACAUAACAUCACUUCAUACUCUGGCUAACCUCCUGCGCUACCCUGUACCUGCACAUCUGGGGUUAGGGGAGAGGGGUGAGCUAUAAAGCCCAGUGAGCAGAAUAGAGAAAAACAUAUAUUAAAUAUUUCAUGCUUCCAUGAAAUGCAACACAUCACAAACAUAUCACAUAAGGAUGGUAUUGUCACCUAUAGUCCUCAACAUAGUCCAAUCGUGCCAGGGGCGUAGAAUGGGCCUCACUGGUCUUUCUCUUAC
rnacentral:lncRNA from 1 species